AAUAGUGUGGCAUAGUGGUUUGAACAUUGGACUACGACCCUAGAGACCAAGGUUCAAAUCCCUGCUCAGUUA